rnacentral:rRNA from 1 species
UAGUCAUAUGCUUGUCUAAAAGAUUAAGCCAUGCAUGUUCAAGUAUAAGCUUUUAUAUAGUGAAACUGCGAAAGGCUCAUUAAAUCAGUUAUAGUUUAUUUGAUAGUCAAUUACUAGAUGGAUAACCGUGGUAAUUCUAGAGCUAAUACAUGCAUCAGCAUCCUUUUGGAUGGUAUUUAUUAGGUAAAAGCCAACGAUUGGUGAUUCAUAAUAACUGACGGAUCCGUAUGGACAGAUCAUUCAAAUUUCUGCCCUAUCAACUGUCGAUGGUAGGAUA